AUUGAACGCUGGCGGCAGGCCUAACACAUGCAAGUCGAGCGGAGCGGCGGACGGGUGAGUAAUGCCUAGGAAUCUUCAUGGUAGUGGGGGAUAACGUCCAGAAACGGGCGCUAAUACCGCAUACUAUCAGAUGAGCCUAGGUCCGAUUAGCUAGUUGGUGGGGUAAAGGCCUACCAAGGCGACGCCCCGUAACUGGUCUGAGAGGAUGUUCAGUCACACUGGAACUGAGACACGGUCCAGGCUCCUACGGUAGGCAGCAGUGGGCAAUAUUUGACAAGGGGCGAGAGCCUGAUCCAGCCAUGCCGCGUGUGUGAAGAAGGGCUUCGGAUUGUAAAGCACUUUAAGUUGGGAGGCGUUACCAACAGAAUAAGCACCGGCUAACUUCGUGCCAGCAGCCGCGGUAAUUC
rnacentral:rRNA from 1 species